rnacentral:rRNA from 1 species
AGAGAGAGACAUGCGCGCAUAUCAAUAAGCGGAGGAAAAGAAACUAACAAGGAUUCCCUUAGUAACGGCGAGUGAAGCGGGAAGAGCUCAAAUUUGAAAUCUUCAAGGUUCUACCUUGACGAAUUGUAGUUUAUAGAAGUGUUUUCUGUUAGUGGAGUGGCAAAAGUUCUUUGGAAUAGGACAUCAUAGAGGGUGAGAAUCCCGUAUUUGGUCAUUCCUCCUAGCGUUGUGAUACACUUUCAACGAGUCGGAUUGUUUGGGAAUGCAGUCCAAAAUGGGUGGUAAAUUUCAUCUAAAGCUAAAUAUUGGCGAGAGACCGAUAGCGAACAAGUACCGUGAGGGAAAGAUGAAAAGAACUUUGAAAAGAGAGUUAAACAGUACGUGAAAUUGUCAAAAGGGAAGCGUUUGACACCAGUGUUGUUUUUCCGAAAAUCAAUUACGAAUGUUUUGUUUUUGAGGAGUUAUGACUUCAUCGGCUUGCUCCUUUCUUUAUGAAACUUUCUUAAUGCACUUUUCGGUUAACAAGUCAACAUCAAUUUCUUUUGUUGUAAAAGGGUAUGAGGAAGGUGGCUUUCUUUUCGGAGAAAGUGUUUAUAGCCUUGUGCCUCUGCAAUCGGAGAGAUUGAGGUCUGCAGCGUAGAUCCUUCGGGGUUAGAUACAGUUUGUGCUAAGUUAUAGCUUUUCAUAGACAACUUGUUGACUAUGCUUAGUCUUGUAGCUUACUCGCUGACGCUAUUUUACCUACGCUUAGGAUGUUGAUAGUCACAGCGUGUA